UUCUGCCUGCGCGGCUGCUGCGUUGCCAGAGCUCCUCGCCGCCACUGUUGGCGGCGGAAACCGCCUUCCAAGCCUGUGUCUGUUGGUUAUACAGUCACCGCGAGUUUCUCUGCCGCCGUACGACCUUCCACUAGAAGGAUCCACCACAGCCUCCUCUGUUCUUGUCUUCAAAUCAGCACUGCCCUUUUUCAGUUUCAAUCCCAAUUCUGCUAUUUCUGAAUAUUUUUACCAAGGUAUGUUUGAAAAAUUAAAAUUGGUGCUGCUGCCACCAUUUCGGUCACGUUGGAAUCACUGUUGCUGCCAUGAAAUAAAAAGGGAAGGGAGUUACUGUGUUUGACCCAUGUGAAUUCAGCUAGUCGAGGUAGGCGCGUUUUUAUUAAAACUCAUUUUUAUUCUUAAGAGUUGUUAUAAAUUGAUAUUUAGGCAAGUAGAUAUUUUUUGUGGUUAUGGAGUCUUAUAAGUUGAACUGAACUGCCUUGAAUGAAUGUGAUUGCUUACUUGCCUGUGGCUAAUUCUGAAUAUUGAGUUGAUAUUGAGAUAGUGAAUGAAAGAUUAAUUUGAAAAUCUGAGUCGAAUGUUUAUCAAGUAUAAUUUGAGAAUUGGAAAAUGAUUUGAUGUUAGAUUUAGUUUGACUUUAGAAAACGAUUUGAGAUUUGUGAAUGACUUGGGUUUGAAAAUGUUGGAAAGUGUUUGAGAAAAUGUUAGUUGACUUUGUUGGAAAUGAAUUGGAAUCUGGAAAGGGUUAUAACGUUGGAAAUGAGCUUGAUUUGUAGUAAAAGGAAUUUGAAUUGAAAAUGGUUUGAGAUAUUGAGGUUGUUCUGAUUUUGAAAUUGAGUUGAAAGGAGUUUGAGAAAUGGUUUUGUUGGGACCCAGAAGGGGUGAUAGAGUCCGAGUUUUAGAGGAAAUGCUGCAGAAAUUUAUAAAAUUGGAAGAGUUCAUUUGAAGUAAUUAUUUAAAAAGAUUUGUUUUUUAACAUUAUAUGUUUUAAGAUUGGUUUAUAAUGAACAGAAUGGAAAGAAGGAUGAUGAGGAUUUUCUUUGAAAUAUGGUUUUUGAAUGAAUUUGGAAAUGAGAUUUGGAUUGAUGAAUGAUUAUGAUGUUGAGAAUGUUGAGAUAUGGAUUGAGAAUGUUGAGACAUGAUCUUUGAAUUAUUCAUAUGGCUUAUAAAUUUCAAUUAUCUGAGAUAUGAGGUUCCCUGGAUUAAGUGCCGUGGCUUGCCACCACGUGUACCAGGUUGAAAACUCGAUACUCUGUUGACCUUACGACGUAAGUGUGACCGGGCACUAUAUAAAUUCCCGGGAAUGUUACCCCCAUUGAGCAAUAUUGAUUAUUUGAGAGAAAGUGAUGCAUAGACUCUUGGGGAUGCACGUCAGGGGACAGUCUAAGUUCAAUUCAGACUUGUCAGGUUGGCUGGAUAACCGACAGAUGAGCCUCAUCAGCCAUAGGACAGGCAUGCAUCAUAUGCAUUUGUAUGCUUUGUUUGGGUUUGAACUUGUUUUUGGUUUGCCUAAUUGCUAAAUUGUUCUUAACUGCUACUUGAACUAUUUGCGGUAAGUGCUACCUAAACCUGUGCUUUCCUUGUCUGUCUUGCCUGUGUUUGUCUUGGUGUGCUACAUUUGAGAAUGAACUUUGGUGCUGAAUUAAUGAUUGUGUUGUUCGAUUGCGUGAUUGGUUUCUGAUUGAGAUUUUCUUAUAAGAAAGGAAAGGUUUUUCGGAUUUCUGAAAGAUUAAACAUUAUUUCUUUGAAAAGGUUUUGAACGAUUACCUAUUGGUUUUUAAAAGAUUCAUAAGGCAAUGAUAAUCACUGAGCUUGAAAACAGUUUUCUCAUUAAAUAUCUUCUUAUGACAAUUUUAAAACUCUGUGGUGAGACCGUGUGAUUAAGUUCACCCACCCUACAGCCUUACCUUUUCAAGAAUCGGAUGAAGAACUAUUACGAAAAGUGAUAUUGCAUUUUUUGUUUACAUGAUGUUGUAUUAAUUAGAUUAAUUUUCUUCUCUCGUUUUUGUUAUUACAAUUCUGUAAGAGGGAUAUGAGUUUUGGGUUUUAUAUGUAUAUUAUUUUGUAAGCUAUUAGGUAAGAAAUCUUAUAUAUGAA